rnacentral:rRNA from 1 species
AAAUUGAAGAGUUUGAUCAUGGCUCAGAUUGAACGCUGGCGGCAGGCCUAACACAUGCAAGUCGAGCGGUAGCACAGAGAGCUUGCUCUCGGGUGACGAGCGGCGGACGGGUGAGUAAUGUCUGGGAAACUGCCUGAUGGAGGGGGAUAACUACUGGAAACGGUAGCUAAUACCGCAUAACGUCGCAAGACCAAAGUGGGGGACCUUCGGGCCUCAUGCCAUCAGAUGUGCCCAGAUGGGAUUAGCUGGUAGGUGGGGUAACGGCUCACCUAGGCGACGAUCCCUAGCUGGUCUGAGAGGAUGACCAGCCACACUGGAACUGAGACACGGUCCAGACUCCUACGGGAGGCAGCAGUGGGGAAUAUUGCACAAUGGGCGCAAGCCUGAUGCAGCCAUGCCGCGUGUGUGAAGAAGGCCUUCGGGUUGUAAAGCACUUUCAGCGGGGAGGAAGGCGGUGAGGUUAAUAACCUCAUCGAUUGACGUUACCCGCAGAAGAAGCACCGGCUAACUCCGUGCCAGCAGCCGCGGUAAUACGGAGGGUGCA